UCAAAAAGGAGUUUGAGGGAGAAUGUAAGUUUUGGGGAUUUGAGGUCUUCAAUUUGAAGCUUUUUGAG
rnacentral:tRNA from 1 species